UACGGGGGGAGCAAGCGUUGUUCGGAUUUACUGGGCGUAAAGAGCGUGUAGGCGGCCAGACAGGUCAGCUGUGAAAACUCGAGGCUCAACCUCGAGACGUCGGUUGAAACCGUUUGGCUAGAGUCCGGAAGAGGAGAGUGGAAUUCCCGGUGUAGCGGUGAAAUGCGCAGAUAUCGGGAAGAACACCCGUGGCGAAGGCGGCUCUCUGGGACGGUACUGACGCUGAGACGCGAAAGCGUGGGGAGCGAACAGG
rnacentral:rRNA from 1 species